AGCAGCCGCGGUAAUUCCAGCUCCAAUAGCGUAUAUUAAAGUUGCUGCAGUUAAAAAGCUCGUAGUUGAAUUUCGGGACCAUCAUGUCGGUCGUGCCUCGGUACGUACUGGCAUUGUUGGUUUCUCCCUUCUGACGAACCAUGAUGUCAUUUAUUUGGUGUUGUGGGGAAUCAGGACUGUUACUUUGAAAAAAUUAGAGUGUUUAAAGCAGGCUCACGCUUGAAUACAUUAGCAUGGAAUAAUGAAAUAGGACGUUUGAUUCUAUUUUGUUGGUUUCUAGGAUCGACGUAAUGAUUAAUAGGGAUAGGUUGGGGGCAUUAGUAUUCAAUUGUCAGAGGUGAAAUUCUUAGGAUUUAUGAAGACUAACUACUGCGAAAGCAUUUGCCAAGGUAUGUUUUACAUUAAUCAAGAACGAAAGUUAGGGGAUACGAAGACGAUACAGUAUACCGU
rnacentral:rRNA from 1 species